rnacentral:sRNA from 1 species
AAAGAAACUACUUAUAUAAUUUCACAUUAUUUUAUUGUUUAUUUCAAUAAACAAUUUGUCACAACAUGGAGGUGUCCCAUACCAUCUUAAGUUGUGUAGAAGGCAAUCAUAUUUAAAGUUUUAUUUUGGACAAGUAUUAUUAACAUCGAAUAAAGUAUAGAGAAAUUAAUUCUCUAUGUAUUGUAUGCACCAGUUUUGAAUAAAAAUGGUUUUGAGUUGAAUUAUAACAACUCUAAUGUUUGUUAUUUUAAAAAUUGUUGUUUUAAUUUUUUUCACUGAAAUUAAACUACAUGUACUUGUAUAUAAAAACUGAAUUAAAAACGGAGUUUUUGAAGGGCAUUUGUAACUCUGUAAUUUGUCUACUUUUAUGUGUCAUUGAGAAAUCUUAGAUUCUGUGAUAAAAAUAUGUAUAUAAAUUAUUUGUUAAAAAACCAUAAACAUGUUAUUACUAAAUGCCAUGAAGAGAAGGUCUGAAAUGUGUAUAUAAUACGAAUGAUGAUUUAAAUAAAAAAAUCAACUGCAGUAAAUUUUUGUUGAGGAGAUAAAGAGAGAAGGCAAUGAAUACUAUACUGGUCAGCCACUGACCGAUAAAAGAACAAACCAGACAUCAGAGACAUGUAUAACGUAUAUAAGUAUGGACGUCCCUGACAUGCAUUUUGCCUGUAACUUUUUACCGAUAUUUUUGUGCAGAUACAUGUAUUUACCAUCAACUUAUCAUUGUAUACUAGUAUCUAUUGUUGAACUGUUGAAGCAAUAAAGUGAAUACUUU